GAUUGCACAGGAGGCUCAAACAGAUAAUGGGGCAGUAUUUGCAAGCACAGAAGGAGCAGGAGGUGACUGAAGGAGAUGGAAAAGCUGCUUAAGACACAACAAAGGAAUUGCCAUAUAGCAUGCAGAGAUGAAAAGCCUCUGGGAUGAGCGGCCUAUUGGAGAGUGAAUUAACUGGCAACCUUAAUUUGGAACAUAAAUAUACUUGGAUUUCAAGAGAUUCAAACCCAAAUGUUUACAGAAAUCAAAAUACAGGCCAAAAAUAAAUCUGCUAGAUUCUGGAGACCAAGGAGGAAGAAAUGGACACUGCUAUCUAUGACCUGGACUCUCAGCACAGGUCAUAAAUAUAUCUGAUACUUGAACUCCUUGGUUGGAUUUGGAAGCAGUUCUACCAUAGAAUGGAAAAAUAUAGCUUCAGAGAAUUUCAGCUGUGACGAAGAAAGAAGAGUUGAGCUGAUGCCAUUUCAAAACAACAUAUAAAGCAAGAGCAUUUGUAAUUUUAUGUAUUCUCUCUUGGGGAAUUUAAUAAUUACAUUCAACAUAGGGACAGUCUAUUGUCAUGUCUGCAAAUACUGUUGAUAUGUGUACUCAUUUGCACAUUUAUA